rnacentral:lncRNA from 12 species
AUUGUUGCUUGGGAAAGGGGGAAGGGAAGACAGAAAGAAAGGAAGGAGAGACGGAGAAGAGAAGAAGUGCCGUGGGCUCCAUCUCAUUGCUUAUCAGGGAUGCUAAUAACCUCCCACCUGCCACUACAACCACGAGAUGGGUCUACAUAUGUUAUAUUAAGUUCAAACCUGGCAACUCUCCUCCUUGAUGCCUACUGAUGUGUAAGUAAUUCACAAAGAAACCAGAAAGAGAGGUGACACAGGCAUUUAAACCUACCCUGCCCAGUAGCAUGUGCUAAGCAGGCACUCCAAUGUCUGGGGACUGACUCACAGACUGAGGCCUACUGGGGCUUCAGAUUUUUCUUACUCAGAAAGCAGGAUCAACACCACCGCCACCAUGAAUUAUUCAACACCUGCCUGGGCUACUCCUUGGUGAACAACAAAAUAAUGGAAACUGACAAAAUUGAUUUGUGGUGAAUUUUUAGUGAAGCCAAGUUCAUGGCAAGUGAGCAAGGGCAAGCAGGGCUCGGAGGAACUUGACCACAAGAACAGUCAGCCCACAAUUCCCCUGGAACAUCACUACCUGACCAAUAGCACAGCCAGGCCAGAGAACUUGAACAAGGCUCCUUUUCCUCUGAGGGUCUGAAAAAGAUGAACGCUGUCUCCCACUGAAAAAGUACAGUCACUUGGGCUCACCAAACCAACUCCUCAGCCAGAAGGAUGGGCAAGACUCGUAAUGAAUUUCAAGAAGCAUUUGAAUUACUAGCCGAGUUCCUCUGACUCCAUUGCACAGACAGGAGGGGACGUCAGAAGAGAGCUCCCAGCCACAAAGUGAGAAAGGCGUGGAACACUUGGGUGGAGGAUGAGAAGGACGCAUACAUUUGCUCACAGGCGCACACACAUUACCUUUAACGAAGCAAGACAAAUCGACAACCGUCCUAGUGAAAUGGUGGCGAAGAAAGAUCCUGCAAAGUUGCAGUCAAGCUAAAUAUGCUACCGCCGCCGCGUCCUGCCCACUCAGUCACCUCGGCUUCCCACAACCAAGUGCAGAAACAGGCCCGAGCUACAAGAGCUGAAUUAACAAGAACAAGCUGGCAGUUGGAGUGCCCGCUCUUGUCUCUGCCAUCUCAAGUUACUGACAUCUUAACCAACUUCCCAAACUCUUCUCAAGUGCAGUCUCCUCUACAGAGUCUUGAUCCUGGCCACCAGAGGUCACUUCUUCCUGCAACUGUGAUGUCAGGCCGCCUAGGAUCUAAUGCUGGCCCAGCACGUUCCUGACUGCGGGACCCUGGGCAGGUAAUUUGAACUCUAUGUGUCCAAAUUCCUCAUCUGGAAAAUGGGGAGAAUAAUGCAAACUCCCUCAUAGGGCUGUGAGAAUCAAAUAAUCCAAUUCAGGGAUCCCUGGGUGGCGCAGCGGUUUGGCGCCUGCCUUUGGCCCAGGGCGCGAUCCUGGAGACCCGGGAUCGAAUCCCACGUCGGGCUCCCGGUGCAUGGAGCCUACUUCUCCCUCUGCCUGUGUCUCUGCCUCUCUGUGUGUGUGUGUGUGUGACUAUCAUAAAUAAAUAAAAAUUAAAAAACA